GGGGUUGUGGCUCAGUGGUAGAGCGUCUGCUUUUGGCAUGCAGAAGGUGCCAGGUUCAAUCCCCGGCAUCUCCA